rnacentral:rRNA from 1 species
UACGGGGGGGGCAAGCGUUGUUCGGAAUUACUGGGCGUAAAGGGCUCGUAGGUGGCCAACUAAGUCAGACGUGAAAUCCCCAGGCUUAACCUGGGAACUGCGUCCGAUACUGGUUGGCUUGAAUCCGGGAGAGGGAUGUGGAAUUCCAGGUGUAGCGGUGAAAUGCGUAGAUAUCUGGAGGAACACCGGUGGCGAAGGCGACAUCCUGGACCGGUAUUGACGCUGAGGCGCGAAAGCGUGGGGAGCAAACAGG